rnacentral:rRNA from 1 species
AACGAACGCUGGCGGCAUGCCUAACACAUGCAAGUCGAACGAGACCUUCGUGUCUAGUGGCGCACGUGUGCGUAACGCGUGGGAACCUGCCCUUAGGUUCGGAAUAACUCCCCGAAAGGGGUGCUAAUACCGGAUAAUGUCUUCGCACCAAAGAUUUUUCGCCUUUGGCUGGGCCCGCGUUUGUUUAGCUAGUUGGUAGGGUAAAAGCCUACCAAGGCGACGAUCCAUGGCUGGUCUGAGAGGAUGAUCAGCCACACUGGGACUGAGGCACGGACCAGAAUGCUACGGGAGGGAGCAGUGUGGAAUAUUAGACGAUGAGCGAAAGUCUGGUACAGCAAUGCCGCGUGAGUGAUGAAGGCGUUAGGGUUGUAAAGCUCUUUUACCCGGGAUGAUAAUGACAGUACCGGGAGAAUAAGCUCCGGCUAACUCCGUG